rnacentral:rRNA from 1 species
GCUCAAAGGAAUUGACGGGGGAGCACCACAACGGGUGGAGCUUGCGGUUUAAUUGGAUUCAACGCCGGAAAUCUUACCGGGACCGACAGCAAUAUGAAGGCCAGGCUGAAGACUUUGCCGGAUUAGCUGAGAGGUGGUGCAUGGCCGUCGUCAGUUCGUACUGUGAAGCAUCCUGUUAAGUCAGGCAACGAGCGAGACCCACGCCCACAGUUGCCAGCGUACUCUCUGGAGUGACGGGUACACUGUGGGACCGCCGCUGCUAAAGCGGAGGAAGGAAUGGGCAACGGUAGGUCAGUAUGCCCCGAAUAUCCCGGGCUACACGCGAGCUACAAUGGUUGGUACAAUGGGUAUCUACCCCGAAAGGGGACGGGAAUCUCCUAAAACCAAUCUUAGUUCGGAUUGAGGGCUGCAACUCGCCCUCAUGAAGCUGGAAUCCGUAGUAAUCGCGUUUCAACAGAACGCGGUGAAUACGUCCCUGCUCCUU